rnacentral:rRNA from 1 species
GACGAACGCUGGCGGCGUGCUUAACACAUGCAAGUCGAACGGAAAGGCCCUGCUUUUGUGGGGUGCUCGAGUGGCGAACGGGUGAGUAACACGUGAGUAACCUGCCCUUGACUUUGGGAUAACUUCAGGAAACUGGGGCUAAUACCGGAUAGGAGCUCCUGCUGCAUGGUGGGGGUUGGAAAGUUUCGGCGGUUGGGGAUGGACUCGCGGCUUUUCAGCUUGUUGGUGGGGUAGUGGCUUACCAAGGCUUUGACGGGUAGCCGGCCUGAGAGGGUGACCGGCCACAUUGGGACUGAGAUACGGCCCAGACUCCUACGGGAGGCAUCAGUGGGGAAUAUUGCACAAUGGGCGGAAGCAGGAUGCAGCAACGCCGCGUGCGGGAGGACGGCCGUCGGGUUGGAAACCGCUUUCGCCUGUGACGAAGCGUGAGUGACGGUAAUGGGUAAAAAAGCACCGGCUAACUACGUG